rnacentral:rRNA from 1 species
AGAGCGAACGCUGGCGGCAGGCUUAACACAUGCAAGUCGAACGCACUCUUCGGAGUGAGUGGCAGACGGGUGAGUAACGCGUGGGAACCUACCUAGUGGUACGGAAUAGCUCCGGGAAACUGGAAUUAAUACCGUAUGUGCCCCAAGGGGGAAAGAUUUAUCGCCAUUAGAUGGGCCCGCGUUGGAUUAGCUAGUUGGUGGGGUAACGGCCUACCAAGGCGACGAUCCAUAGCUGGUCUGAGAGGAUGAUCAGCCACACUGGGACUGAGACACGGCCCAGACUCCUACGGGAGGCAGCAGUGGGGAAUAUUGGACAAUGGGCGCAAGCCUGAUCCAGCCAUGCCGCGUGAGUGAUGAAGGCCUUAGGGUUGUAAAGCUCUUUCAGUGGGGAAGAUAAUGACGGUACCCACAGAAGAAGCCCCGGCUAACUUCGUGCCAGCAGCCGC